UAAUACGUAGGGUGCGAGCGUUGUCCGGAAUUAUUGGGCGUAAAGGGCUCGUAGGCGGUUUGUCGCGUCGGGAGUGAAAACCAGGUGCUUAACACCUGGCUUGCUUUCGAUACGGGCAGACUAGAGGUAUGCAGGGGAGAACGGAAUUCCUGGUGUAGCGGUGAAAUGCGCAGAUAUCAGGAGGAACACCGGUGGCGAAGGCGGUUCUCUGGGCAUGACCUGACGCUGAGGAGCGAAAGUGUGGGGAGCGAACAGG
rnacentral:rRNA from 1 species